CACGUAGGGGGCGAGCGUUGUCCGGAUUUAUUGGGCGUAAAGAGCUCGUAGGCGGCUCAGUAAGUCAGGUGUGAAAACUCCAGGCUCAACCUGGAGACGCCACCUGAUACUGCUGUGGCUAGAGUCCGGUAGGGGAGCAUGGAAUUCCUGGUGUAGCGGUGAAAUGCGCAGAUAUCAGGAGGAACACCAGUGGCGGAAGGCGGUGCUCUGGGCCGGAACUGACGCUGAGGAGCGAAAGCGUGGGGAGCAAACAGG
rnacentral:rRNA from 1 species